UACGUAGGUGGCAAGCGUUGUUCGGAAUUAUUGGGCGUAAAGGGCGCGUAGGCGGUUUGUUAAGUCGGUCGUGAAAGCCCGGGGCUCAACCCCGGAGGGUCGACCGAUACUGGCAGGCUAGAGUACAGAAGAGGUAGCUGGAAUUCCCGGUGUAGCGGUGAAAUGCGUAGAUAUCUGGAGGAACACCGGUGGCGAAGGCGGCAUCCUGGACCGACACUGACGCUGAUGCGCGAAAGCCAGGGGAGCAAACGGG
rnacentral:rRNA from 1 species